ensembl:lncRNA
GGCUAUAAUAUCAUGGUGACUGAAGGAGGCUGUUUUUCUGAUACACGGUUGACCUGUUUCAUCAUAUAUAUUUAAAUUACUGGCAGCAGGUGGUGAGCUGGGCAAGGCAGUGUGAGGGGAGGGUUGGAGGGGGAAGUGUCUAGAGGUGAUUUGAUUACCAGUGUGCUAACCUAAAAAGCUAUUUUUUUUUUUAAUAAUAAUAAUAAUAAUAAUGUGGAACAUGUAGUAUUAUUGUGUUGACUCUUGUCUAAUUUUUCUUCUUCUAAUUGUCAGGGUUGUCAGUGUGUAGGUUUACUGGGAUAAUCCUCAGGCUAAGUGGACCCUGCUGCUGGCUGGUCACAUAAGUACAAUGCCCCACUGAAUCCCUGAGAGGUAAGGGAUGAAAGCCUCCGGUUGGCAGUGAUGCCUCCUGUUUCAAACCGACAGCCCUGUCUUUCAUCUGCCAAACCUGACCUGCUGCUACCGACAGCCUUCCUUCUCCUCUCCCUUCACUCUGUGCUCUUACCACAUCUUAUCACCUUAUCUCUGGCAGCUCCAACAACUCCUCCAUCAGUGUGGUUUCAGAGAAACGUCAUGUCAGAAAGCAUCUGAAGAGAUAACCCAGCAAACGGGAUCAUUGUCUUCAGAAUGGAGAUUAGUGAUCUGACAACAGCUAAACAGCCAAAACUAAUAUUACUGUGAGGUUAUACCAUACAAUCAAAGAAAACCUCAGCAGUAUCCAGAUGCUUAUUUGACAGGCACAUUUUGUUUGGUUCCACUAGUCUCUCAGUAACAACACUGACGUCAGCUUUGCUUCAUGGUGUGGUUGUGUAGCACUUGUGGUUAGUCACACUCCCUGCGUGUGUGCCCAGCGCCACCACAACAGAGCCAUGGAUGUACCCAGCUACCUCUAUUUUAAGUUUAAACAUGCAACAGCUUAAUCCACACUCUUCUCCCCAGCUGUAAGGUACCAUUAUACAGGAUCUGCAGACAGAGUGCAAAGAGCAGUCUAAUCUUCACACCAAAGAACACCUGUCACUUAUUGCAUGCUGACACACUGGGGCUUUCAUUACUUUCUCAUAUAGUACAAACUUUAUAACAUCCUCAGGUCCCCCUACUGGAAGUCGAAGUAGGGGGGGGUGGGGAAAUCUAUCAAAUAGCGCACCUUUUACUAAUACAAUCACUAAAACCAGUCACACUAUAAAAGGCUAGCAAAUUAACUGUAAUUCAUUCAUAAAACUGUGAAUUGCAAGCUAGUCAAGAAGAAUGCACAGUGAGACAAAGACCUCAGUUUUAAUGCAGCACCCGUGCCCCAUACACUGCGUGACCCCAGGAUGUUGCCAGCGGGCGGCCAACAGCCGUGGACAGCAGGUGCUCUCCCGUAGCGGCACUCCUGGACUCUGAGGAGCGAGGAGGAUGCUGUAUGCAGGAACCAUCAGGGCAGGCCAGGAAAUCUCCAUCU